UGAGUCUCUCGCCUUUUGUCACAAGGUAC
rnacentral:piRNA from 1 species